rnacentral:rRNA from 1 species
GGUUAAGCGACUAAGCGUACACGGUGGAUGCCCUGGCAGUCAGAGGCGAUGAAGGACGUGCUAAUCUGCGAAAAGCGUCGGUAAGGUGAUAUGAACCGUUAUAACCGGCGAUGUCCGAAUGGGGAAACCCAGUGUGUUCCGACACACUAUCAUUAACUGAAUCCAUAGGUUAAUGAGGCGAACCGGGGGAACUGAAACAUCUAAGUACCCCGAGGAAAAGAAAUCAACCGAGAUUCCCCCAGUAGCGGCGAGCGAACGGGGAGGAGCCCAGAGCCUGAAUCAGUGUGUGUGUUAGUGGAAGCGUCUGGAAAGGCGCGCGAUACAGGGUGACAGCCCCGUACACAAAAAUGCACAUGCUGUGAGCUCGAUGAGUAGGGCGGGACACGUGGUAUCCUGUCUGAAUAUGGGGGGACCAUCCUCCAAGGCUAAAUACUCCUGACUGACCGAUAGUGAACCAGUACCGUGAGGGAAAGGCGAAAAGAACCCCGGCGAGGGGAGUGAAAAAGAACCUGAAACCGUGUACGUACAAGCAGUGGGAGCCUCUUAAUGGGGUGACUGCGUACCUUUUGUAUAAUGGGUCAGCGACUUAUAUUCUGUAGCAAGGUUAACCGAAUAGGGGAGCCGGAGGGAAACCGAGUCUUAACUGGGCGUUAAGUUGCAGGGUAUAGACCCGAAACCCGGUGAUCUAGCCAUGGGCAGGUUGAAGGUUGGGUAACACUAACUGGAGGACCGAACCGACUAAUGUUGAAAAAUUAGCGGAUGACUUGUGGCUGGGGGUGAAAGGCCAAUCAAACCGGGAGAUAGCUGGUUCUCCCCGAAAGCUAUUUAGGUAGCGCCUCGUGAAUUCAUCUCCGGGGGUAGAGCACUGUUUCGGCAAGGGGGUCAUCCCGACUUACCAACCCGAUGCAAACUGCGAAUACCGGAGAAUGUUAUCACGGGAGACACACGGCGGGUGCUAACGUCCGUCGUGAAGAGGGAAACAACCCAGACCGCCAGCUAAGGUCCCAAAGUCAUGGUUAAGUGGGAAACGAUGUGGGAAGGCCCAGACAGCCAGGAUGUUGGCUUAGAAGCAGCCAUCAUUUAAAGAAAGCGUAAUAGCUCACUGGUCGAGUCGGCCUGCGCGGAAGAUGUAACGGGGCUAAACCAUGCACCGAAGCUGCGGCAGCGACGCUGAUGCGUUGUUGGGUAGGGGAGCGUUCUGUAAGCCUGUGAAGGUGUGCUGUGAGGCAUGCUGGAGGUAUCAGAAGUGCGAAUGCUGACAUAAGUAACGAUAAAGCGGGUGAAAAGCCCGCUCGCCGGAAGACCAAGGGUUCCUGUCCAACGUUAAUCGGGGCAGGGUGAGUCGACCCCUAAGGCGAGGCCGAAAGGCGUAGUCGAUGGGAAACAGGUUAAUAUUCCUGUACUUGGUGUUACUGCGAAGGGGGGACGGAGAAGGCUAUGUUGGCCGGGCGACGGUUGUCCCGGUUUAAGCGUGUAGGCUGGUUUUCCAGGCAAAUCCGGAGAAUCAAGGCUGAGGCGUGAUGACGAGGCACUACGGUGCUGAAGCAACAAAUGCCCUGCUUCCAGGAAAAGCCUCUAAGCAUCAGGUAGCAUCAAAUCGUACCCCAAACCGACACAGGUGGUCAGGUAGAGAAUACCAAGGCGCUUGAGAGAACUCGGGUGAAGGAACUAGGCAAAAUGGUGCCGUAACUUCGGGAGAAGGCACGCUGAUAUGUAGGUGAAGCGACUUGCUCGUGGAGCUGAAAUCAGUCGAAGAUACCAGCUGGCUGCAACUGUUUAUUAAAAACACAGCACUGUGCAAACACGAAAGUGGACGUAUACGGUGUGACGCCUGCCCGGUGCCGGAAGGUUAAUUGAUGGGGUCAGCGCAAGCGAAGCUCUUGAUCGAAGCCCCGGUAAACGGCGGCCGUAACUAUAACGGUCCUAAGGUAGCGAAAUUCCUUGUCGGGUAAGUUCCGACCUGCACGAAUGGCGUAAUGAUGGCCAGGCUGUCUCCACCCGAGACUCAGUGAAAUUGAACUCGCUGUGAAGAUGCAGUGUACCCGCGGCAAGACGGAAAGACCCCGUGAACCUUUACUAUAGCUUGACACUGAACACUGGUCCUUGAUGUGUAGGAUAGGUGGGAGGCUUUGAAGUGUGGACGCCAGUCUGCAUGGAGCCGUCCUUGAAAUACCACCCUUUAAUGGCUGGUGUUCUAACGUUGGCCCCUUACCGGGGUUGCGGACAGUGUCUGGUGGGUAGUUUGACUGGGGCGGUCUCCUCCUAAAGAGUAACGGAGGAGCACGAAGGUUGGCUAAUCCUGGUCGGACAUCAGGAGGUUAGUGCAAUGGCAUAAGCCAGCUUGACUGCGAGCGUGACGGCGCGAGCAGGUGCGAAAGCAGGUCAUAGUGAUCCGGUGGUUCUGAAUGGAAGGGCCAUCGCUCAACGGAUAAAAGGUACUCCGGGGAUAACAGGCUGAUACCGCCCAAGAGUUCAUAUCGACGGCGGUGUUUGGCACCUCGAUGUCGGCUCAUCACAUCCUGGGGCUGAAGUAGGUCCCAAGGGUAUGGCUGUUCGCCAUUUAAAGUGGUACGCGAGCUGGGUUUAGAACGUCGUGAGACAGUUCGGUCCCUAUCUGCCGUGGGCGCUGGAGAACUGAGGGGGGCUGCUCCUAGUACGAGAGGACCGGAGUGGACGCAUCACUGGUGUUCGGGUUGUCAUGCCAAUGGCACUGCCCGGUAGCUAAAUGCGGAAGAGAUAAGUGCUGAAAGCAUCUAAGCACGAAACUUGCCCCGAGAUGAGUUCUCCCUGAGACAUUAAGUCUCCUGAAGGAACGUUGAAGACGACGACGUUGAUAGGCCGGGUGUGUAAGCGCAGCGAUGCGUUGAGCUAACCGGUACUAAUGAACCGUGAGGCUUAACCUU